rnacentral:snRNA from 14 species
AGCUUUGCGCAGUGGCAGUAUCGUAGCCAAUGAGGUUUAUCCGAGGCGCGAUUAUUGCUAAUUGAAACUUGCAAGUUAUUAUGGAAUUGUGCCCUUGGACAAUAAUCAUAAAACUGC